CUUUUGUGGUUUCUUUCAGCUUUUGUAUUUCCCCAGAAUCCAAUAUCAUAUCUCGUGUUUCCAUAUCGAGACUCUGCCCUUACCUUUAUUGUAAUAAAGAUUUGGUAGGAAGACAGGUGUGUGUGUGGGGUGUGUGUGUGUGUGUGCAUGUGUGUGCAUUGUGCACUUGCAUGUAUGUUACAUGAAUUUUUAUAUAUUGGCCUACAUACUAUUUUUGUCUGUUUAAAAAAUUGUGUUGCAGUUUGAUUAAAAAAUUUCAAGAGCCACAGAUCAUUUUCAAUAUUUUGAGUAGUGUAUGAAGCGAAAAUUACUCUCUCCCUAACACCUUCCAUGGCUUCCAGCCCUCUUUGUUCUUCAUACCUGUUUCUAUUCUAUUCUGGUGAAGACAUCUGUCAUGCCAUGCUAUAUGUUGGUUUUCCAUGUCUCUGGAUGGAUGGGGAGGGGGAAGGUGACAAAGACAAGUUUUAAGCUCUAGUUUAGGAGUUGGGUGGAAAAAAUGGGUGAUUGCUUUUCUAUCUGUUCAACCCUUGGACUUAUGCAGUUGGGCUAUAGGUAGUGAAGGAGAAAUCAUCUUUCAUAGCUUCUUUGGAGCCAAAGAAUCAAUCUCUUUUGACUCAGAAAGUAUGUAUGUAUUUCUGAAUCAGUAACACUAAAUGAUACAGCACAAGUCAAUUCCCUCUGUCUUUGGGUCUUUGGUCUUCCUGUCCCCCAAUCUUUGGUUUCCAAUGUUAUGGACACUCUAGGCCUUUUGUGUACCUUGAUGGGCAUUCUACUGGGAGGUUUGGAGUAUGAAUUUUGAUCAACCCCCAUGGCAACUUGGAAGUCCAUGGAAGAAAGGAAUACCCCCCAUAUGCCAAGCCCUUGAGGCCUGCCCCUGGCUUGCACUGAAGAGGCUCUCCCAUGCUGGCGAUCUGCAGGCGCUCCAGGGGGAAUGUACGACACGAAAUGAUCAAUCAUGAAACCAUUUUACUGUCAUUAAAACCUCUUUGUGAGUGAUCACUGUUCUUUCUUCAUAUGAGAUAAAAAU
rnacentral:lncRNA from 12 species